rnacentral:rRNA from 1 species
CCUACGGGUGGCUGCAGUGGGGAAUAUUGGACAAUGGGGGGAACCCUGAUCCAGCCAUGCCGCGUGUGUGAAGAAGGCCCUCGGGUUGUAAAGCACUUUCAGUGAGGAAGAACGCCUGGUGGUUAAUACCCAUCAGGAAAGACAUCACUCACAGAAGAAGCACCGGCUAACUCCGUGCCAGCAGCCGCGGUAAUACGGAGGGUGCGAGCGUUAAUCGGAAUUACUGGGCGUAAAGCGCGCGUAGGUGGCUUGAUAAGCCGGUUGUGAAAGCCCCGGGCUCAACCUGGGAACGGCAUCCGGAACUGUCAAGCUAGAGUGCAGGAGAGGAAGGUAGAAUUCCCGGUGUAGCGGUGAAAUGCGUAGAGGUCGGGAGGAAUACCAGUGGCGAAGGCGGCCUUCUGGACUGACACUGACACUGAGGUGCGAAAGCGUGGGUAGCAAACAGGAUUAGAUACCCCUGUAGUC